CUGUACAGUGGAGAAGUGUCGAAGUGCCUGUAGCCAAUCUUUAUCGCCUCCAGGACCGCCGUCUUCAUCGUGGCUUCAUCGAAGGGGUCCGCCGCUGUCCCCAUGCCUAUUACNUAUGACCGGCUUUGCCCGGUGGCCGUAGUAGGAAGCCAGUGUCAUUUUCGGUGUUUCUGGUGCGUUGUCCAUGUCUUGAAGAGAGAAUCUUGCAAGAUUG
rnacentral:misc_RNA from 1 species